CCCACAUCCCUUUUUCCACUGCCAGGACCUCUCAAUAAGACCGUGCUGGGAACAGGAGGCUACUUCACGCCUCUGCUACUGCAAAUCCAAGAGGAAGAGGAACGACUUGGGCUAGAAAAUUGAUAAGGACCCAUGGGGGGCAGAAAAAAUAAUGGAUGGGACGGGUCAGACAGUAUGAUUAAAAGAAAAUUCUAGAAGGGAAGGAAGCCCUUUUGAUGCAUAAGGCCAGGAUUCCCUCCAUUUCUUACGACACCGCAGCCCAACACCUGUAGUGGGGGUGGUCUUUCCCUUGAGGGUCUAGUGCCAAUUGAUCCUUGCAGUUCUCUCAGUCUCUGGCUCCCAGAAUGGAAACCUACAAAGGGCCAGCCCACCAGGCGGUAGGGCGGGUCGGCAGAGAGGCUGUGGACAGUCCUGAGAACCCAAUAGUUGCAGGUCCCCUCACACCCAGAACAGCACGGAGUAAGGAAGGAGACAAGGCCGCUGUUCCUUUCGGUCUGAUUCUCUCUGGGCCUCCCUCGUGGUCUUGCACACUGGUAGUUCCCACCGAGCCCGAGGGGCCCUGUCCACCCCCCGGGCCUCCCCGUCCCUACCGGGCCUCCCCACCCCGACAUUCGGCACACCGCGCACCAGCCGACUGGUCCUCUCCAUCGUCCUCUCCACCCGCCCGAUAGAAACUCUGUCCGCAGCUGCUGCAGACCGAAGGCGCCCCAACUGCAUGGAUCUUCUUGUGUCUCCGCAGUGCGGCACCCUGCACAAAGCCCUCACCACACUCCACGCAGAUGUGUGCAGGCUCCUCACCAACCGCUACCCCGAGCCCAUCCCCGUGCUGAGCGCGCUGGUGGGCCAACAGCCCAGCCCCGUGCCCAAAACCCUUCCCGCACUCCAUGCACACAUACGGCUUGGGCGCCGGCGCCCUGCGCGACCGUGUCCCCGUUGCCCGCGUCCCCACCCCAGCCAGAGCUGCGGCCGCUGCAGCACCAUCCCCUGGCGGGCCCACCACAAUAAUGCCCUCGCCAUCGCCCACUGGGAUAGCGAUUUCGCCGUCCGCUGCUGUGGCCUCCUCCGGUGCCUUGGCGCGCCGCACGCUGGCUGCCAGCACCUUGGCUGCCACACCUGGCCCUGACAGCUCUGGGUGCAACCGCAGGUGGCGUGCCAGGCUCUUGGGCUGGCUGAAGCCACGGCCGCAGCGCGGACACACGAAGGGCUUUAAACCACUGUGGGAGCGCCGGUGCUUGGCUAGGCUCUUGCUCUGUGUGAAGCUGCGGCCGCAGUCGGGUGUGAAGAGCUGCUUCCACCUAAUUCCCACACCAUCCUGGGAGAGGACCUGUGUGCACUCUCAACACGAGGAACAAGACCCUGCUGGACCCUGGGCCCUGAACCCUAGUCACUACUCUUUCUCCUGUCUCCCAAGCGCUAUUG
rnacentral:lncRNA from 1 species